AGAGGCUGGGCAGAAGGCGGCGUUUCCCGGAGGAAGCAGUGGUUCUGUGCCAGCCUCUGCUGCAGGAAGAGAGGCGAUGCCAGGCACAGUCCCAGGAGCUGAGGUUGCUCGGAAGGCUUCUCCAUUAGCUUGACUGCAUAAAGUUUUGAAGCCCUUGGGUCUCCUGCAGAUGUGUCUGCAGGGAGGACUUUUCCUGUUCCUUUGCUGAUUCCUAUACGGAAGCCCAGCUCCCAUGGCAGGGGUCCUCUGAGGGGGAAGAGCAAAGGCAAAGGACAGAGGAAACCCCACGAGCCAAACAACAUCCUGAAACAAAUCGUGACAGAACUGCACAAAGGGCAUGGUGAGAGCAUUUCCAUUUCCUUCUGCCUUCCCCUGGGACUCAGCAGCCGGGGACUUUGGCUGCACAUCUGGACACGCCGUGCCCGGCACAGCGGGAA